AUAGAUGUGUGAUGGACAGUUUAUCUAUGAUCGAUGAUUAAGGAUAUUAAAGAGCUUGAAAGGCUCGACAUGAUCGUGUAUAAGAAAUUGCUAAUAGAUUUGAUCUUACAAUUUUUGAUUCAUAUGAAUAGUUUAUGAAACUAUUAUAUGAAUAAAUAUUAUAGCACCUUAGCUGAAUUGAUCGAUAUGCUGGUAACUAAGGGA
rnacentral:lncRNA from 1 species